GGUAUGGGAUGAGCUUGCGUCCGAUUAGCUAGUUGGCGGGGCAACGGCCCACCAAGGCGACGAUCGGUAGCCGGCCUGAGAGGGUGAUCGGCCACAUUGGGACUGAGAUACGGCCCAGACUCCUACGGGAGGCAGCAGUAGGGAAUAUUGCACAAUGGGGGGAACCCUGAUGCAGCAACGCCACGUGUGGGAAGAAGCAUUUCGGUGUGUAAACCACUGUCGUGAGGGAAUAAGGCCUGUUCUAGGACAGGAUUGAAUGUACCUCGAAAGGAAGCACCGGCAAACUUCGUGCCAGCAGCCGCGGUAAUACGAGGGGUGCAAGCGUUGUUCGGAAUCACUGGGCGUAAAGGGAGCGUAGGCGGAGAUUCAAGCGGAUUGUACAAUCCCGGGGCCCAACCCCGGACCUGCAGUCCGAACUGGAUCUCUUGGAUAGUUCAGGGGCAGGC
rnacentral:rRNA from 1 species